rnacentral:tRNA from 1 species
GGGGUUGUAGUUUAAUUGGUUUGAACGUUGCCCUGUCACGGCGAAAGUUGCGGGUUCGAGUCCCGUCAAUCCCG